rnacentral:lncRNA from 1 species
AUGUCUAAAUUGGUCAUAUGAAUGUGCAUACAUCAUUGUAGGACUUGGCCACUGUAGGUAAGCACCAUCUUCGGAUGCUGGGUUCAAUCCUGGGGUACAAAAAGGGCUCAUUGUCGGGGUUGAAGGAGGUUCAUAUCCAAGUGAAGCCUGAGUUUGUGCCAUUUGACCCAACUGAUUAAAAGUAAUGUCAUACUGAGCAAAUGAAGGUUGAGCUUUUGGCAAAUUAAAGGGCACCAAAUUAACUGCGGAGGCUGAGAGAAGCCUGAGUUUGUGCCAUUUGACCCAACUGAUUAAAAGUAAUGUCAUACUGAGCAAAUGAAGGUUGAGCUUUUGGCAAAUUAAAGGGCACCAAAUUAACUGCGGAGGCUGAGAGACUCCUAGCAUAC